UUAGCUGCAUAUUAUUUAUAUUGAUGUAGGGGGAAAUAGAUUUAAAAAAUCUAUAUUAAAAACUUUUAACUUCUUUCACUUUGUUUGCAUUUGAAUGGAAGCAAACCAGCUUAUUCUAAGCUGAACAAACAGCUCCUGUUUCCUGCAGGAUAAGAAGGAUAAUGCUCCUCCAUCGCCAUCUUAUUGUGAUGGAGGGAUUGGUGUGUCCUGGAAGCUAUGUUGUUGGUGGCAAUUUACCUCAGGAAAACCAGACUGACCAGGCUCUCCAGGGUUACCAGGGCUUCCUCUUUCACCAGGGACACCCGGAUCACCUUGUGGAUAUGGCCCAUUUGGCAGUGGAGCUGGAAAUACGAUUCCAGGCAAACCUUUCGGACCUGGAAACCCUGGAAGGGAAAGGGUGGAGAAAAAGAGGGAUGAAGGAAAGAUAAAAGGAAAACCAGAGUCACCUCUAAAACCCUUGACACCAGGAAUUCCAGCAAAACCACCAUCACCCUUUUGUCCUGAAGGGCAAAUACAUAAUGUUUCAGUUUAUCUUUUUUUUUUUUAAUUGAAAACAUGUAGGAGCAAACAUAGAAAUGAAGAAGCAGCAUUUUUAGUU